GACAUUUUGUUAUUGUAUAUGUUAUUUGUUUGUGUGUUGGUAGUUUGGGGGAUCUCAAUAAGCUUUGGCUUACAGUUUCAAGUUAUGUUUCAGGUACUUUAGAUUACCACGGGAAGGCGAAGGCAUGACCAUACACAUCCUCAUGUUUUGACUUAUUAUUUUGGGAAAACUUUGAUGUUGAAAUUGUAGAGACCCAUUUUUAUAACGAACGGUGAAUGCGGAAGUAAGAUAUCUCGAGAUUAAUCGUGUUUUUGUAAGUAUGAACACGAAGAACAUAUUAUGAGUUCAUGGAAGAAAGCUAAGAAUAAAGAGAGAAUAAUAAUAUUAAUGAAGAACAUGGUGGCAGAGAAACUCUCCCUGGGUGGGAGAACCCACCACUUUUCUCUCUCUAGAUUACAUUGUGAGGAGUACAAAAGUAAUCUCUAACUAAGAAAAAUGAGCUAGCUUAAGUAAGAAAUGACCAACUCUCCCUUUAUAUAGGAGGGAGAGUAUUUAUGCCAUAAAUACAAUAAAGGGAAAAUACAACCUAAUUAUCACUCAUUAUUUGUGGAGCAUUUACAUGCACCAACAUUCUCUCCCAAAAUGAUUACAAAUCAUGAGAGAUACAAUAAGUGAUACAAGACUAUAAUACAGUAAUCCGACUAGCAAGUAUGGUAAUAAAAUGAAAUCAAGUGCUGAAAUGUCUCUGAAACUCUGAAGUGUCUGUGAAGUCUAAAACUAGCCAUGAAUCUCUGAAAUGAAGGUCUUCGGCUUCAAAGCACAACCAAUGAAGCAGAAAAGAUAAUAUCCAAAUCUUUAAACCAGUCAUAUUCACCCGAAGAAGGAGGUCACAAUGAUCAAGUAGAAGAUCCAAUAAAAUAAACACUUCGGCUUCAAAAGUUUGAAAAACAUCUCGAGUUCUCAAAUCAUAAUACACCGAAAUUCUUCAAAGAAUAACCUGCUAAAAAUGUGAAGCAUCCAUAAAAUGUAAUCUAGAUAAUGAUAAUGUGAGUCCAAAAACAUGGUCUAGCAAUGUCAAAAAUUUGAUCCAAGGAUCAAAAAUAAGUGCCACGUCACAUCGCCAAAAUAAUCUUCGUUUUCAACAUAUCACAAAUCCAAACUCGUGAAACCAUAAGAUCUGAACCGGAUGCGAACACAAAAUCAUCCUGUGGUAGAGUCCAAAUAAUAAAUAAUCUUAAUCGGAAAACAUCGAGUAAUGCCAAAAAUUUGAUCCGUGAAGACCAAAAAUAAGUGCCACAUCGCAUCACUAAAUAAAUAAUCGUCUUUAGAAGUCUUCAAAAAUCCAAAAUUAAACAAUAAUAACCAAAUCCAGAUGAUAUUCUCUCCUUAUUUUUGAUAACCAAUGACCGGAUAUCAAAAAUCAACAAAUCAUCAGAUGGAGAGUGUCGGAUACCAAGAGCUAAGAGAAGCUCUCCCUAGAUGUAUGAAGGGUCUCGAUAGGAAACGAGAAAGUGUAAAAGAGAUACUCUUGCGGUCAUGAGAAGGUGGGUGACAUAGUUGCUAAAGCUGUGCUGAGAAAAUAAUCUGUUGUGCCAAAAAUAAUAUCCAAAUAUCCAAACUGCGGUGUUGGAACACUUGAAGUGGCUUCAAAGAAAAUAAAUUCCACAUGCUCAAGAUACAUGACUCGUCAACCAAAAAAAUCAUAAGCAACAAGUCAUAAAAUCCCAUAAUGUGAAGAAUAUGAAACAACUUUGUUGAUCAAUCGCCGUUGCGGUGGAAGCGUCACAAAGAAUGAUAUGAAGUCCGACUGCGGUAGGAGUAUUCUUCCAAAAAUAAUAACCGGCAUGACCUAACCAAUGUGACAAUCCAAGGUUCGGUUGUGGCAAAAAUUGGUGUUAAAAAAAAUAAUUCGUUUUAAUAAAAAAAAUUGGUUAUAAUAAAAAAAAUAGCUAAACAAAAUUGUGUUAAAAAAAUUGGGUAAAAAAAGUGAUGCAGAAAAAAAUCUGAAUAGAAUAAAAAUGAAGUUUUAAAAAAGGAAGGGAGGGAAGGAAAAAGAAAGUGGAAAGGAGGGGGGAGGAGGGGGGAAGGAAGGAUGAAGAAGGAGGGGGGAGGUCUGGGCGAAGGAGGAGGGGGCGGAGGCAGGAGGCUGCGGGUCUAAGAGGUUGCAAAUGAGAGGGGGUGGCUUGGGUGGGAGGUGAUUGCGGGUGGAGAAGAGUUGGGUGCGGAUGGGGAGCUGGGCGCAGAUGCAAAGGAAGGUGGAUACAUGGAGCUGGCUACGGUGCAAGCAAGGGCAAGUCAAGCAGCGGUCCGAGCUGCGGUAGCGAGAUAUGGUCCGAAGUGACUGCGGCCUGAAGGAAGAACCGAAGUUGCGGUCCGAGGGAUUCUAUCACCAGUCACGGAUGGACUUCGGUCAGUAGGUUGCGGUCACCAGGGAAGGAGGUUGCGGAUUACGAGCUGCGGACCAAGUGUUGAGAGGACUUCAGAUCAAGGGCUAAGAAGGGCUCCGGGUAGGCUUCUAAGGGGACUCCGGAUGGCAGUUUUUGGCUGCGGUCCGGGGGGCUGAGAGGGGCUGAACAGAUGACGAAAAAUGUUAUUUUUUCAUGAAAAAUGGUACCGCAAAGACCAUUUAUUCAUAUUUUAAUGAGGGAAUCUUUUUAUAAAUCAUUCUAAGUCAAAAGUGGGUCGUGAGAAGGCAAAAAAAUAGAGUGUGCGGGUAGGUUUUAGGGACAAAAGGUGAUGGAAAGGACAAUGUCACACGGUUUUUGUCUUUUUGAGGGAGCAAAUAGUGGAGUACUCUUUACCCAAAAGAGUAACAAAGACAAUAUGCUUUUGCAAACAAUUUAUCACGUCCAAACAAUUCAAUUUGAAGAUCUACAACAACUAAUAUAAGAGAAUCAACAGCUUCAUACCUCAUAAUGAGAAGAGUUGCUGGGAAAGAAAAAUCUUCAAAAAGAAAUGCUUUUCUCCACUUUCUUCAAGAAAAAUAAACCCAUAAUCUUGUGUCUUCUCAUCCAAGGAAAAAGGAACUCCCUGGAAUACAUCUUCAACUUUUUAAGAUACCACAAAAUUAAUUCUUCUCCCAUUUUUUCUUCAUUUCUUCAACAGAGAAAUAUUAAGAAUUUCAAGAACAUCAUUUUCUAGCAACAAAUAGAAAGAGCAGCAUCAACAAAAAUUUAUUUUUCCUUAGAUAGAAUCACCCUAGAAAAAUAGAACUAAGAACAAACUUUAUAAAAAAAAUCCCGGUUUGAAACCCGAAAAAUUUUCUUGCAGAAACACGGAAAAAUCACAAGAUAAUCACCGAAUGGGAGUCGUUCCCUUGAACUAAUCGUGAGAUCUCCAAGGUACGGAUCUGAUACCAAUUGUAGAUACCCAUUUUUAUAAGGAACGGUGAAUGCGGAAGUAAGAUAUCUCGAGAUUAAUCGUGUUUUUGUAAGUAUGAACACAAAGAACAUAUUAUGAGUUCAUGGAAGAAAGCUAAGAAUAAAGAGAGAAUAAUAAUAUUAAUGAAGAACAUGGUGGGAGAGAAACUCUCCCUAGGUGGGAGAACCCACCACUUUUCUCUCUCUAGAUUACAUUGUGAGGAGUACAAAAGUAAUCUCUAACUAAGAAAAAUG
rnacentral:lncRNA from 1 species